rnacentral:lncRNA from 1 species
ACAAUCAAUCCUUUAUUAAAGACUUUUUUUGCAUUUGGCCCCCUAAAAAAAUAAUUUUCAUAAAUAAUCUUAUCAAAUUUAUAAUUAUAAUUUUGGUCCUAUUCCUACCACGCAGGCGCCACCAAGCAAGGAUGAAAAUGCUAAAAUAAAUUGAAUGUAAUAAUUCAUUCACCGUAUCUAAACACAGUAACAUAUAAGUAUGGAACACGAUAAAUCAUCAUUGUGUUUGACCGUAUUCAACUUAGCGUCCCUCUCCAGCCAGCUUAUGUGGUACUGAUGUGACACUUACGUGACGGGAAUAAAAUCAAAAUUAUAAUUAUUAAUUUAAUAGAGCUAUUUAUAAAAAAAAAA